UACGGAGGGUGCAAGCGUUAUCCGGAUUCACUGGGUUUAAAGGGAGCGCAGGCGGAUUUGUAAGUCAGUGGUGAAAGGCUUAAGCUUAACUUGGGAACUGCCAUUGAUACUAUAAGUCUUGAAUGUUGUUGAGGUUUGCGGAAUGGGUCAUGUAGCGGUGAAAUGCAUAGAUAUGACCCGGAACACCUAUUGCGAAGGCAGCAGGCUAAACAAAUAUUGACGCUGAGGCUCGAAAAGCGUGGGGAUCAAAACAGG
rnacentral:rRNA from 1 species